CCUACGGGAGGCAGCAGUAAGGAAUAUUGGACAAUGGGCGCAAGCCUGAUCCAGCCAUGCCGCGUGCAGGAUGAAGGUGCUCUGCAUUGUAAACUGCUUUUGUUUGGGAAUAAACCCUUCUACGUGUAGAGGGCUGAAUGUACCAAAAGAAUAAGGGACGGCUAACUUCGUGCCAGCAGCCGCGGUAAUACGAAGGUCCCAAGCGUUAUCCGGAUUUAUUGGGUUUAAAGGGUGCGUAGGCGGGUUAUUAAGUCAGUGGUGAAAGCCUACAGCUUAACUGUAGAAUUGCCAUUGAUACUGAUGAUCUUGAGUAUGAUUGAGGUGGGCGGAAUGUGUCAUGUAGCGGUGAAAUGCUUAGAUAUGACACAGAACACCGAUUGCGAAGGCAGCUCACUAAGUCAUAACUGACGCUGAUGCACGAAAGCGUGGGAAGCAAACAGGAUUAGAUACCCUGGUAGUCCACGCCCUAAACGAUGAUCACUCAUGUGUGNGAUACACUGUACGCGUCGUGNGAAGAAGACGAUUAAGUAGUUAGUUCCGACCGUUCGGGAGGUUACGGACCGGACCGACGGUUAGGUUAACGUUACGAACGAAGUUAGUUAGGCGGCGNGAGACGCGACGACGACGACGACGGAACGGGAAGGAAG
rnacentral:rRNA from 1 species